rnacentral:lncRNA from 1 species
CAAGUAACCAAUGUGAUUUUUGUGUAGUGCAUGAUUUCUCUCUGGAAUUAUCUCCUUUUUGCAGGUUCUAACACUUUCAGAAAUUCUCUGGCCUUGUUUUCUCUUCCUCAUUCUUGCAGCUGUGUGAUACCUUGAGUGUCCUGCAUAUCGUACCAACUCAGACGUUCUCCUCUUGGCAGCCAGUACAGCCAAUGGCAGGAGGGUACCAGCUUCAUUGACAGUAUAUUGGACUUGACCAAUGAUAUUUCAGAAAUCACAAAAAAGGCUUCUGUAUUGGAAAGAGAUUGGGUAGAGUUAUCAGGUAAUACACUUCCAUAUCCAUUUCUCGCACAAACCAAAUUCAGAUUUGAGCACUUUAAACUUACUGCUUACAUUUAUGCUGAGAAGACACAUUUUUAAACGAUGCUGGAUAUUUUAUGUUCUUUCCUUCAGAAUUGGCAGCAGACACAACAGAAAAUCG